UGAGGAAUAUUGGUCAAUGGACGAGAGUCUGAACCAGCCAAGUAGCGUGAAGGAUGACUGCCCUAUGGGUUGUAAACUUCUUUUAUAAGGGAAUAAAGUUCACCACGCGUGGUGUUUUGUAUGUACCUUAUGAAUAAGGAUCGGCUAACUCCGUGCCAGCAGCCGCGGUAAUACGGAGGAUCCGAGCGUUAUCCGGAUUUAUUGGGUUUAAAGGGAGCGUAGGCGGCAGGUUAAGUCAGUUGUGAAAGUUUGCGGCUCAACCGUAAAAUUGCAGUUGAUACUGGCCUGCUUGAGUGCGGCAGAGGCAGGCGGAAUUUGUGGUGUAGCGGUGAAAUGCUUAGAUAUCACGAAGAACUCCGAUUGCGAAGGCAGCUUGCUGGAGCGUAACUGACGCUGAUGCUCGAAAGUGCGGGUAUCAAACAGG
rnacentral:rRNA from 1 species